GGGUUUGUAAGUAAGCAUUUCACUGUAAGGUCUACUACACCGGUUGUAAGUAAACAUUUCACUGUAAGGUCUACUACACCGGUUGUAAGUAAGCAUUUCACUGUAAGGUCUACUACACCGGUUGUAAGUAAGCAUUUUAUUGUAAGGUCUACUACACCGGUUGUAAGUAAGCAUUUCACUGUAAGGUCUACUACACCGGUUGUAAGUAAGCAUUUCACUGUAAGGUCUACACCGGUUGUAAGUAAGCAUUUCACUGUAAGGUCUACUACACCGGUUGUAAGUAAGCAUUUCACUGUAAGGUCUACACCGGUUGUAAGUAAGCAUUUCACUGUAAGGUCUACUACACCGGUUGUAAGUAAGCAUUUCACUGUAAGGUCUACUACACCGGUUGUAAGUAAGCAUUUCACUGUAAGGUCUACUACACCGGUUGUAAGUAAGCAUUUCACUGUAAGGUCUACUACACCGGUUGUAAGUAAGCAUUUCACUGUAAGGUCUACUACACCGGUUGUAAGUAAGCAUUUCACUGUAAGGUCUACUACACCGGUUGUAAGUAAGCAUUUCACUGUAAGGUCUACUACACCGGUUGUAAGUAAGCAUUUCACUGUAAGGUCUACUACACCGGUUGUAAGUAAGCAUUUCACUGUAAGGUCUACUACACCGGUUGUAAGUAAGCAUUUCACUGUAAGGUCUACUACACCGGUUGUAAGUAAGCAUUUCACUGUAAGGUCUACUACACCGGUUGUAAGUAAGCAUUUCACUGUAAGGUCUACUACACCGGUUGUAAGUAAGCAUUUCACUGUAAGGUCUACACCGGUUGUAAGUAAGCAUUUCACUGUAAGGUCUACUACACCGGUUGUAAGUAAGCAUUUCACUGUAAGGUCUACUACACCGGUUGUAAGUAAGCAUUUCACUGUAAGGUCUACUACACCGGUUGUAAGUAAGCAUUUCACUGUAAGGUCUACUACACCGGUUGUAAGUAAGCAUUUCACUGUAAGGUCUACUACACCGGUUGUAAGUAAGCAUUUCACUGUAAGGUCUACUACACCGGUUGUAAGUAAGCAUUUCACUGUAAGGUCUACUACACCGGUUGUAAGUAAGCAUUUCACUGUAAGGUCUACUACACCGGUUGUAAGUAAGCAUUUCACUGUAAGGUCUUUUUUGAGUUUUUUGUUCAAAACUGUUCAACUAUUGUCUUCUCUCGCCAUGUCAACUACUCACCACUUUUCAUGCAGUACCUUAUGCUUUCAGUACUAUAUUCAUUCUCUGGUCCUUUGA
ensembl:lncRNA